AUGUGCACGUUUUUCUUUUCCCUUGAAGGGAUGUACACCGCUUUUGUAGAGUGGAAAAAAACAUUUCCUUUCUUCUUCGCCUUUGAAGGGAAUUGAAAGAAAUCGAGGCAGCCAGUCCAUGGGUGAUUCUACCCCAAAUCUGAGUGCCCUGCCCGUCCAUGGAGCGAUGCUGUACCAAAUUGCUAGCGGAAAAAGAAACUGAUGCUGCCGCCCCAAAUUUGAGUGCCCUCCCGUACAUGGGGAGAUGUUGUACCAAAUUGUAAGUGUUGUUGUUGUACCAGAUUGAUUUGCUUGCCCAUCCAUGGCCAAAUCUUGGAGGAGGUGACGUUUGUGGCCAGUUUUUGCCGAGGGCAGGACAUGCGCUGCGGAUCAGGUCUUGCCCACCAGCGAGGCCGUCCAUUGGCGCUCGGACAUAUAGCUUUGUGAUUUGGUUGAGGGGCCAUCUUCUGUGUGUUGUUCCUGUCGUCUUAGGCUGCAGACGUACUGACAGUAUGAAUGGCCAUUUUGAGUCACUUGGUGACAUGAUGAUUCGAGCAUUACCGGCAAACCCACCUUCAGUGUUAACUUAUGGUCUGGGAUUCCUGGGGAUGUCAAGGUGUUGAGGAACUCAGUAGGCUGCAUGUUCAUUAUGAUGUUGGUGUUUGUCGUGGCCUUGCACACUG